rnacentral:rRNA from 1 species
AUGCCUCCAGGAAGGGUGAUGGCCCUAGCUCCAGGACAAAAAAAGAGGAUCCUGGAACCUGAUGAACCUGCCCUUGAUAGAGUCACAAGGCAGAAAGCAAGGAUGGCGACUGCGACGGACCAUCAGGAAAGUAUGCUGCGCAUGGACUCUCAAACCUCGGUGCAAACGGGUGAUGAGUUGCCGCCCAUGGAUGAAGAUGCAAUGACUCCCAAGACUAGACUUAGAAAGGGCAAAGGGCUAGAGAGGAUCACCAAGUCGCUUGGUAGCAAGGUGCCUAUCCAAAUUGCCGAAGGGAUGAUUCGUCCAGAGAAGCCUCUGCAGGCAGCAAAGCUUGCUUCUGAGUGUGGACUCGUUGCAAAAAGCCAUCUUCCGGUUCUUCCUCACUUCAAGCUAUACAAAAAAAUGCUAGUCUAUUGGAGAACUACAUUGGGAAGUUGCUGCAAAUUUUGA